AAUAGUUAGUGCAAAAUGCGCACGUAAAUAACCGACGUUGUAAGGCGUCGGUUAUUUUUUUGC
rnacentral:sRNA from 1 species